AUACGGGGGGUGCAAGCGUUAAUCGGAAUUACUGGGCGUAAAGCGCGCGUAGGCGGUUAAAUAAGUUGGAUGUGAAAUCCCCGGGCUCAACCUGGGAACUGCAUUCAAAACUGUUUAACUAGAGUAUGGUAGAGGGAAGUGGAAUUCCAGGUGUAGCGGUGAAAUGCGUAGAUAUCGGAAGGAACACCAGUGGCGAAGGCGACUUCCUGGGCCAAUACUGACGCUGAGGUGCGAAAGCGUGGGGAGCAAACAGGAUUAGAAACCCCAGUAGUCC
rnacentral:rRNA from 1 species